rnacentral:rRNA from 1 species
UUUUCGUAGGUGAACCUGCGAAAGGAUCAUUACCGGCACAACAACAACCAACAAUCACUAAGCGCUCUCGUCGAGUUAGAGAGAGUGCAGGCGAUUCUGAGGGAUCGUCGCAGUUCCGUAAGCAUGCGUGGUGGACGGCUCGGUUCCCGCGUCGAUGAAGGACGUAGCGAGAUACGAAAGGUGUUGCGAAUUGCAAGAUUUCGCGAGUCAAUGACCAUCCGAAUGCAUCGCCGUCCUUGCUUCGCUUCGGCGGAGGGAGGACGCGUCGGCGACAUCGCCCUGCACGAUCGCUCUCCCCCUUUCUGCGGAGAGGCGCCCGUGGACGGAUCACCCGACCCUCGGCGUGUCCGUGCCAGCGCGCACUGCGCCCGCGUGGCUUCNACUGGACCGCGCGUGGCGCCAAUUCUUUGGAUAGCUGCGAUGUCGUCGGCGAGGAAACCCGCUGAACUUAAGCAUAUCAUUAAGCGG